ACGACAAAAAGUAGGCCUCGAACUAAAAUAGGUAUUUCUAACACAAAACUCUGAGGUUUCAUCACAGAGAGACGAGGGAGCAGCAGCAGCCGCCCAGUGUGAUUUUAAAAAGGUGAAUCCUGUCUUUGCUCGGUGUUUUCUCGUUUUGUCACCGCUCCAUGUUUUCCUCCUCUUCCUGCUUUACCUACUCCACUCUGCGGCUCGUCUGCGACUCCUCGGCGGCUCCCCGCCCUUCCUGCCCCCGCUGCCUUACCUGCUGUGGCCCGCUUAAACCUGCCGGACCGGUCGGACGUGUCUAGGGCUUGAAAGCACAAAAAAAAGAAGUUAAAAACAACGCGUGGCAUUCAGGGAGGCUGACGAGGCGCUGGAAGUGGACGCCUAGCCGCUCUCGUGAUGUGACGUACAGCCUUCCUUCACUUUCAGUUGAUUUUCAUACUUGCCAACAAGAUGAAUACGUCCAAAGAAGGGAGCUCCAUUCUUUGACUAACAGCACCACCUAGAAGCUCAACAGGUCCUUUUCUCAACCAUCAUCUACC